rnacentral:lncRNA from 1 species
CCCACACGCAUGAGGAAAAACUGGAGGAUAAAAAAAGCAAAAUUCAAAUUGUCUCACUGUUAAGAUAGAGGGUUAGGGGUGUAUCCAGCCCUUCCUGUUCUUCUCCUAAACUUUGCUAGGGUCUCUUGGGAUCUCAGGGUGGUGGCCAUGAAGCUGGGGGCCGGUGGAGCCAGCUCUGCCCUCCCUGCUCCCUUCUUUGUCUCUGCCAACACAAGCAAGAGGCCUCUAGGCCGAGACCCACCCAAAUGCAGCCUCUUGUUCAGCCAGUGGAAGAACAGGCCCAGCUGGCCCCGACAGGUGCCCAGAGGAGCUUCGGUGCUCAGAUACCCUGGAGAUGGGGUGAGGUGGGUCAGAAACUGAAACUGAUAGGGUGGGGGUGAUGAGCAGGUGUGGUGUCCCUGGCUGGCCCAGGAGCUGACAGUUCCUUCCCAUCUGCCCUGAACCAGGGCUCAGCUGUCAGUUAGGACUCUGCCCGUGUGGCCAGUUGACCAUGUGAUGGACACCUUGGUCUGGCCACCCUGCCACGAAUGGAGUUGUCAUUUUGGCGCUGACUCCAUUAUCAGCUUUUCAGCUGGGCCUCCCAGGUCCUCAGCCCUCUCCACCUCACCUCCAAACCCUGCAGUAAAUCCUGCCAGUUCUCGCCUUUGUGCCCAUGAGAUUGCUCCUGCCUUUCCUUUCUAGUCCUGCCUGGAAAAUGCCCACUCCUCCUUUAAGAGCCACAUCAACAUUACCCGCUCCCUGCCAUCCCAGGGAGAGGUGGUGUCUGCAUCUUCGUCCCUCUUUUGUUGUUCCUCUGUUGACUUUGGGGCAAGUCUUGUCUCUUUAAGCCUCGGUUUCCUCAUUUGGAAAUGGGGGUAGGGAUAGUUGGACAAGGUUCCAUCUGUCUUGAUGUGGUUCUAAAUUCUUUUACUUGAGGACAAAUCAACUAGGGUAGAAGUGCAUUAUGAAAUAGAACUGAGCCAUGAGUGAGCUACUGGAAACCUCCACACUUUGCAAACACCCUGGCCCUUCUCUGAAGUUAGGGCAGACAAGCACUGUGUAAAUGUUUUACUUUAAUGACUGUGUACCAGUGAAUAUGUUGUGGCAAAUCAGAAUGGCAAGUUCAUAGUUCAACUUGCUAAUGGAUAUAGAAGAACCAAUUUUAAUUUCUCAGCUCCUUCACAAUGCAGUAUUCAGAGCAGCACUACAGCCCCAGACAACAGGCCGCCUGUAAAUUCAGAACCCUUUCAACAACUUCACAUUUCAUUAAAAAAUACAGGAUAAGUAACUCCACCCAACACUGCAUUUCAGUCAACAUUCAAUCUUGUUAUCCAGAUUAAAACAACUAGGGAAUUAAACCCAGCAAGUGCAUGAAGGGGCUGGUGAGGAAUAACGUGCUGUAUGAAUCUCGGGGUUAUCCUGAUGGGUGAGGGGCUGGGCUCUUCACAGUGACUGCUGUGCCCGCCACCCAGCCGUGGAUCCCCGGCCUGUGCUUCAGUUCUCACAGGGACCUUGGUGUUCCUGUUGUGAAUGGUAUCUCUUCUAAUAUCUAUUUUUUUAAAUCUAUAAAUGAAAUGAUCAUUUUAAAAUUCCCCCCUUAAAACAGAAGAGUUGGCGAGCCUCCCAACUUGCUUCCUUUUUGAAGGAGGGCAGCAGCAGGCAGGGGGUCAGGCUCACAGUGGAUUCUCUUGGGAUUCAGAUCUACUGUGUAUUUCAACCAAAAAGUGUGGGGAUAAUGUUCGCAGCCGUGUACUGGCCACCCUGCUUAAUGUUCUUAAUAUUACCAGUAAUGUGCAAGCGCUCUGGUGUGUCCUUAAAUGAUGGAUGUGUUUGAACUUUGCUGUGGAUAUUCUAGUAAUGUUUCCUAGUUUCACUGGGUAUUAAACUCUUCAAUUUUAGCAGAUACAGCCAAAUUGUUUUUAUUUGUUUUUGAGGAAGAUUAGGCCUGAGCUAACAUCUGCUGCCAAUCCUCCUCUUUUUGCUGAGGAAGACUGGCCCUGAGCUAACAUCGUGCCCAUCUUCCUCUACUUUACAUGUGGGACGCCUGCCACAGCAUGGCCUGACAAGCGGUGCAUAGGUCCUUGCCCGGGAUCUGAACCCUGGGCCACUGAAGCAGAACGUGUGAACUUAACCGCUGUGCCACCAGGCUGGCCCUGCCAAAUUAUUUUUAAAACGGUGUUAUCAAUUGGUACUCCCUGCAGAGAAUGAGUCCCUCUUGCUUCAUGUUGUCACUAACAUUCGGUAUGACAUAUUAAAAUUUUUUUCCAAUCUGGUGGGUGUGCAAUAGUAUCUCAUUGUGAUUUUAAUGUGCAUCUCCUUGAUUAGUAAUCAUAUCUUUUCAUGUCUUUGCUGGUCAUGGGUUUGAAUCCCUGCUCCAUCCUUAGGCUCUGUGACCUGGGGGAGAUAUAACUUGUGUGUGCCUCAGUUUCCUCACCUAUAAAGUUCCUCUCUAGAGAAACUGACCAGCUUCAAAGACCUAUAGACUUUAACAUUUGGAUAGAGGGGUCCUCCAAGAAACUGUUGGGUCCUUACCUACAAUCACAAAAGUUCCAUCAGUAUUUUAGCACCUCCCUUUCUUGUUCAAACUACCAUGUGCCAGGCCCUGCACCGGCUGGGGGCCGUGCAUACAGAGAUGAUCAGGGAGAGGCAGCCACUGCCUGUCUGUCCUCUUCCCAGCAUCCACAGUGAGGUCCACUCCUCUCUCCUGCUGCUUUCUCCUCCCUCAUUCUUUUGUUCUGUGGCUGCAUGAGAUACACGUGUCCAGUCUUUACUGCUGUAUGUGGGACCCGGAAGGAGUAGAGGUGAAUGCAAAUGUCUAACCCACCCACCGUGUCUAAUCAGAGGCCAGAGGGACACUCCCAAGGCACCAAGUGUGACUGUCCCUCCACAGCUCAACCCUUUCUGUGCUUCAUUUUGACCUUAGGGUCACGUCCAAACCCUGCAGCACAGCCUGCCUGGGCCCUGCUUACAUUUCCCCGCUCAUCUCCUGCCACCAACACUCUCCCACGGUCCGGUCACUCCAAACUCCUCCUGCCCCCUCCCACCUGAGUUCUUUCACGCUUUUGCUUACAUUUUCCUCCACAAGCACGUGCUCAAGGUGCAGCUUGGGAGCAACCUCUUUGGGGGCCCUGGGAAUUGACGUCUUUCUCCUCUUUUCUCCCACAGCACUUUUUCAUGCCUGCAUUAGAGCCCUGUAUCUUGACUAUGGGCCAGGUGCACUCCUUGCAGGGACCUAGUACCCUCUUGACCUUGCUGGGGCCUGCAGUGGGCCCUGAGGAGAUGCUUGUGUGAUGAAGGAAGAAUGGGCAGACAAGGGAGUGAGCAGUAAGGUAACGAUGUUGUUUGCUAUCCUGUGACCCUCACCAAGGCUGGGCUGGAUCGCAGGUUAACCUUAACUAGAAACAUUUAGGAUACUAAUUUUAAACCUCAGUCUGCUUACCAUUAGCAAUAUAAACAUUAUAAAUAAUACAGAUGGUUGCUGAUGCUCGUAGAGCUCUUCCCUGCGCCUCAGCUCCGGCUGAAGCCCAAUGACACAGUGACGCAGAAUGCGGAGACCUGCAGGACUGUUUCCAGAGACAGACUGAAGCGGUGGGUCCAGACACAUACAUUUGACACUUGGGGCACACCCUUUUUUGGGUACGAGUGAACAAGUGCCCUGCUGGCAACACACACACAGUCUUCCGGACUUCCACACCAAACACAACAGAGCCAUGAAAUCAUGUUGGCAAAGGUGGGGCAGAUCCCAGUGAGGGUGGUGCCAGGACUUCAGGCAUUAGUAAGAAAAGUGUUCGAGCCCAAACAACGGUAACAACAACCGGAAGCCUACCUUGGGAUCGUGGCCAGCAAUCACCCAGACACAAGCUGGCGGCAGAAGGAACGAUACUGGCUUGAAGAAAGGGCUGCAAGAAGCUUUGUGGGAGGGAACCCUCCUGCAUCAGGCAGAAACACAUUUAACAUACAUGUACUGAGCACCUGCCAUGUGCCAGACCCUGUGGUGGCACAGGAUGAAGUCGACCCACCCCAGCAGGACAUGCCCGGCUUCCUUAGACUUUCCUUGUAACUGUCAAGCAGAUUAAAACACAUGCCAUCUUCCCUUCCUGCUUAGAGAGCCACCUUGGGGCUCUGAAUGAGGAUCUGAAAGGUGGACAGAGUCAGAGUCAAAGGCAGCCGGGUGACUUCAAGGACGUGGCUCAUCCCCGACUCCUCCGUGACUGAGGAAGGCGGCGCUUCUGCAGCCAGUGGGGUGCUUUCUCCUGGACUGGGCUGGAGGGCCCACAGCAAAAACCAGAAGUUAGUGCUUAUUCUGCCAGGCUCUGUGCAGAACUCUCUUCCAAGGAUGCGGGUGAGAUGAUCUGAAGGGUCUAAAGUUCUGGUUGGGUUCCAAAGGAAGUGGCUCGGGGGUAAGCACCCUGGAAAGCCCCAUCGGAAGGCGUCUCACUGGGGCAUGACAGGUUGGCUCUUUGUGUGAAAUGGAUUUCCCUCCAGCCUGGAACUGGUGUUGGUUCUUCUCUCAGCACCGGAUUGGGUGGGUAACUUGAUUUUAGGGGCCAAGUUGUAUGAAAAACAAGGCUGUUUGCUCAUUGGAAUCACAUGAGGGCAUGGCUGAUGAGGACCAGGGCAUAUGCGCAUAGCAGUGGGCACAAUUCCUGCAUAGUUAGAUGGCUGUGUGUGCAUGUGUGGACUUCAGUACAUGACAUGCAUCAAUGACUCGAGUCCACCGUGAAUGACAAACUUCUCUACUCUGUUGAUGGACCCUGGUACCAAAAAACCUGGGCUCACAUUGAGGCUCUGUCACAUAGUUGUCUUGUGAGAAUUUCUCCUCAUCAGUCAAAUGGGAAUAAUGAUACCUACUUCCUGCAAUUAUUUUGGGGAUUAAAUUAGAUGAGGUAUGAGAAAAACCCUGUACAUAAUAAGAACUCAAGAAGUGGGAGUUGAUUUUGAAUUGUUAAUGUGCCAGCCUUGGUUUGGUCUGAGGUUCAUCCUAGUUUCAGAAGCAACCCAAUUACAAACAACCUCUUAGGAGGGGCUAUCGUUUCUCAUCAUGAAGGAAGUUGUUCCUGUGAACAAGCCUCUGUAACAAGGUGGGGUUUUCCCAAAGGGAGUGAAAAGCCACCUGGAUUAGGAAAUGGAGCUGAGCUCGGGACUAGGAAAGGAAGGUAUGGCUUCUGCUCUGGGGAUCCGAGGAGGGAAUUCUGGGCAAGGGCUGGCUCUUGGCCUUAGGGGAAAGGAUGGCAUGUGCAUGGGCCAAAAGAACUGUCGGGGUCCCAGGGAAAUUGUGUGGGGUGUGAGUGGGCCCCAGGCUGAGCACAGCCUGGUGGAGUGUGGCCUGCUGGAGUGGUGCCUUUGCCACAUCCUGAGGAAUCACUGCUCAGAGAGAGCUGUGACGACAGAGCCUCACUUAGCAGCCCUGAACAGUUCUAAAGUCUGCAGCACGCUGUGUCCCACUUCUGCAAUAGCUUUGGCAAAUGGGUCCUCCCACCAUUCACAGGCUGUGAGGGUUUCAGUGACAGUGGUGAGGCAGCGGAGGAAAUGAGACUGGCAGGACAGCAGCCUGGAGGACGGCCACCUACCCGCGUGUGGAUGCUGCUGUUUCUGUCUGCCCAGCAUUCCUUCCUCCCCCUUUCCUCCUGGUGUCAGUACCUUUGUUCCUUUAGAGCAUGCUCCUUACCCAUCCUAACCUGUGACUCUGGCUGUGGUGAUUGGUUCAGGAUAGGAUCAGACUGAAAUUGGACCAAUCAGACUCCUUCCCUGGGAUUUUUCUAACUUAAGAGUUGGUGGGAAAUAGUUUACUUUCCUUUCUAGACUCAAGGUUAUGAGGAUGUGAGCCUGGAGCUAUCGAGGCCAUAAGUCUGGUGUCACAGGGAAUGAAGCCACCAGGGAGAAUCAGAGAUGAGAGAUGGACUAUGAGAAGCUUUCAAAAUCCAGGCAUGGAAGCCAAGCUCCUUCCCCUACACCUCCCAUGGUUUAGCUGCGGGGGCCAAUAAUCCUUUUUUCAUUUAGGCUACUGAGACUUGGGUUCCUACUACUUAGAACCAAAGGAGUUCUGACUCCCACACCAGGUAAGCAUCCUUCGGCAUUCCUAGGAAUUUGUUGUUGAGUAGGUGGGGGAAGACCUCAAAGAAGAAUGAAUUUCCUUUCUUAGGUAGAGUUCAGAGUGUCUUACAAAUUGAAGAGAUGGAACCUUAUUUGCUAGUGAGGCAGGACUCCUGGGUCAUAUAAGAAAAGGACCUAAUUAAUGCUAUUUACAUUCAGUGGCGGACACUCUUGGUUGUCUGUUCAGUCAUUUCCAACAGCCUCUCCCACUAUGAAGCCUGGAAAGCUGAACCAACACUGUACUUGCUUUCCAGCCUCUAAGAAGUCACAGGGGCACGUGACCCACUCCUGGCCAGUAAGACAUAAGCAGACGUCUGUUAGUGGUGGGAGUGGGGAUGGAGGGGUGUGGUUUCAUGAUUUGGUAUUUUUUCUUUUAAGUGGCCUUAAAGAAUUUUUGGAAGUUGGCGGAGAUAUAAAAAUAAUGAAAAAGUUAAAAAUGGGUUUUUUAUCAUAAAAAUGUCUUUCUUUCCUUUCUGGAUUAAAAUAAAGAAAGUAUUUCAAACAUUCCAAAAUAAUUUAUAAGGUAGAUGAAAGAAUAGAGAAUAGUCAUCGCUAAAGGCCUGAGGUUCCUUCUAAGAGGAAAGAGAUUUCAUUCAACACACACUGAUCUAGGUCUGGAGAUUCAAGGAUCCACAAGACCCAGUUCCUGGUCUCGGGAGCUCACCACUGGGGAGACGGACAAGAAUAGGUAACUGUAUACCCUGACAUAAGUGUAAUGAUAAAAAUAGGCUCAGGGUGUUAUGGGAGCACAGUGAUGGGCCAGAGAAGGCUUCCGAUGGCAAAUGACACCUGAGCUGAGUCUAAGGAAGAGUCGGGUCAGGGUGGAGGGAGGUCAUGUGGGAUGGAGGGGACUGCAAGUGCAAAGGUGUAAAAGGUGAGAGGCAGUGUGGCAAGAACACGGCGUGGAGCUGUGCAGGCAGAGGGCCUACGGAAGAGGCAGGGCUGCAUCUAGAAGGCUUGGGAGGAUGGUCUCUAUCCCACAGCAGAGAGCACGGAGCAGGGAAGGCCAUUCAGAGAUCCGUGUCCCAGGGAGAUCUUGGUGGCUUGGUGGAAUUGGCAUUUGACAGUCACAGCCUGGGCACAGGGAGACAAUUGGAAAGCUGCUGCAGGGUCUAGGUGGAGAAGGGGAGAGUUUGGUGAAGAGGUGCCGGGCGUAUGAGUCACUUACAUCACAUGUGUGCGCUGGUGCAAGCCGAGUCUGGCUUCUCCAGGUCCUCGUUCACAAACAGACCUCCCGAUCAAUGAUUCUUGACCUCUCAAAGCAUCUGCUCACAUGACUAUUCACUUGCUCCUGGAAGUUUUUUGCUAUUUUCAUAGCAAUGGAUAUCAAAAUUAAUGCUAAUCAAAGUGUUUCAUUAGCUUUUGACUUUCGGUGAGCAGAAAAGAGGCACCGUUUAAGCAAGAACCUUUUGUUCUGUCAGCUAAUAUCAAGUAGGGAGCUUCUUUAAAAAGAAACCCUGAUUAUACAAUCAUGAAUAAUCAUGAUGAAGAUGAAAAGAGAGAAGCAGUAGUGGAGACCAGCGUGCUAAGCCGAGUUCCCUGUUGAGCUAAUUUUUUGAGAGCCUGGACAAAACAGAUGGAGGAAAGCAUAAUCAGAGAGGGCUCCUGGAAAAUGACACAAUCCUGAAAACCAAUGUCAGGAAGACUGUGCUGUGGUUGGCCAGAAAUCCUAAGGAAAACGAAAAAAAGGUCUUUAAAGUCAUUCUUGGAGCAAGAACAAAGAAGGGAUAGAUCCACUGCUCAGGGGACAGUACAAAGUAGAGUGAUACUGAGAGAAGGCAGAAAUACCUUCAGAGACAGAAGAGCUGCUGCCACACACUGUGGUUUCAGCACAGUACAGGCCAUUGCUCCUGAUAAGCUCAGCCCCUAGGAGGACCUGGGACGGGGACUCUGGAAACUACAGUGAUGCAGAUGGGGGCAGGGGAAGAAUCAGUCAUGGUACACUCUCAUAUUUCCACGUGGAAGACUUCAGCUUCAAGAACCACAAGGAAUUCUCAACCUUUUGGCAGUAUCAGCUUCCUGUGGCUGCUGUAACAAGUGAUCACAAACUGAGGGGCUUAAAACAAUAGAAACUUAUUCUCUCCCAGUUCUGGAAGCCAGGAGUCCAAGAUCAAGGUGUUGGCAGGACCUGGCUCCCUCCAAAGACUCUCGUGGAGGAUCCUUCCUGGCCUCUUCCAGCUUCCGGUGGCUACAGGUGUUCCCUGGCUUGUGGAGGCAUUACCCCAAUAUCUGCCUCCUCUACAUGGCCUCCUCCUCUGUCUGCGUGUCUCUCCUCUGUGUGUCUCUUUAAGGACACCUGUCAUUGGAUUUAGGGUCCACCUGGCUAAUCCAGGAUGAUCUCAUCUUGAGAUCCUUAAUUACAUCUGCAAAGAUCCUUUUUCCAAAUAAGGUCACAUUCACAGGUUUCAGGGAUUAGGCUGUGGGCAUAUUUUUGGAGGGUCACCAAUCCAUUACAGGAUCAUAAACCACUUUGAGAAUCUGAUGAGAGCUAAUGAACCAUGAAUUGUGUCAAGUUCCUGGAAGCAGAGUCUGAGACAGGGGUUCUUGUACAAGUGAUUUAUGGAGGAAGUGUUCUAGGGAAAAAGGGAGUGAGGGAAGCAGGCUGGGGCAGGGGAGAAAAGCUAAGCAAGAAGUGGUCUCAUCAGGAGAUGAGCUUAGCUUGAUCUCAUGAGAUGCCUGGAGCAUGAAUUGCAAGAGAGAGUUGCUCCCACCUCGAGGCAGGAGGGCAGCCUUUGUACCCCCAAGCCAGUCAAUGUCCCCCGGUGGGGGGCAGGUAUAGCCUCUCUGCUAGGGGCUUCCUUUUGGCCAAGGAAAAUUCAUCCAAGAAGGGGGCAGCUGUUAGUUAUCAGCCAACACACACAGCAGCCCUGAGGGGGUGACUCACAAUAUCUACAGCAGACUUUCUAGAGAAAUCACACACACACACACAUCACAUUCAAUUUCAGGGACUUCACAGAUCCUCAGAAGCCCUGGAGUGAAGGUUAAGGACCUAUGACUGCUGGCCUAACACUUGUGGUCCCUCAUCCCACCUUGCACCUUUCCCUCCUCUCUUAGAAGAAAUGAUUAGUAAUGUUUGGGAGGAGGAUUGAGCACCCUCAAAUCAAUCUUAUUUUGAUCGCCUACGUGCAGACAGCAUGCAUUCUGGGCUAUCCUCUGCCCUAAGGAGGGGCCGCCAUUGUCCCACCAGACAGGGUGGGUGAAAUGAACUCAGAAUCUGAAUUAAAAGGGGAGUCCCUUUGGCCACGUAUGUAUAACCCUUCUUUCUAAUCAGCUUUUCAGUAAGAAAGCUAAUAGCUUAAUCUCCACCUGUCCACGUCUUAUGUCUCUCAAGUAGUUCUGAACUCAGGCAGGGAAGAGAGAGGAUAUUUACAAACUUCCUAAGACCCCAAAAUCAUCUCAUAAAAGACAGUGCUGCUCCAACUAUGAUCUGUGGACUGGCCACCAAUUCACAAACUCUUUCCUGACUGCUUGCCCCAGGAUAUAAUCAACAUAAAGCUUGGUACAAAAAAAUAAGUCAGCUGAACUCAACAGUAUGCGCAGUGAUGGCGAUGACUUGCACUCUGUUGCAAGCUCACCUCGUUGCAGACCGGCACUUUGAGCAACACUGACAUAAGUAACUGGUGACAAACCUGGAUGGUUGAACCCAGACGGACUAAUAAGACAGGUGGAAAAUAUUUGAAGGGCUCUCAUCUGAAACAGGGAAGAUAGGACAAUGAGCAUAAGUUAAAAAGAGGCAAUAUUUGACCCAAAAUAAUGUAAUGGGAACACAAAUUAUUAAUGGCUAAGGGUUCAGAGCCUUCACCAUUGCCGCCAUGUUGCCAGCUUGGAUCCUGCAGGCUGGAUCAAGGCAAUGGAGAGGCAUGGCUUGGGCAAGCAAGGACUGCAUGGGGAGGGACCGAGAGGUACUUGUGGGGAAGAAUAGCACAGAAAGAAGGGGAGCUGGUUGAAAGAGAGGUCCUGUGGGCUACUCCUGGAUGUGCGUUCUUGGUUGGGAGUUGAGUGGGGGGUUGGUAUGUUUUGGAGGGCAGCUGCCAUUCAUGGGGGGAGAAAUUAAGCAGACGUGGAUCUACCAUGAAGGGUCCCUCACUUGCACAGGCCCCUUAGAAGGUCCUUCUGCAUGAAGCAGUGUGCUCAUGUUUUUGUAAAUUUUGAAACAUUAAGCUAUUUCACCACUUAACAAAUAGUUAAAAGACCACUGUCUCUUUCUGCUCCAUUUCCACGGCCACCCUUCUCUUCCUGUCAGAUGGCUACAUUUGGCUUGGGUUUAGUGGGCUGUGUUGAUGUGGUUCAGUCGCUUCUCUGUGUAGUCAAGGUGUCGCUAGCUUGCCCAGCGAGUCAAAGGUGCAGGGCCAGAGGUUUCAAGGAGAUGUGAAUGUGUCCUGCUGUGACUGCAGACAGAAGCAUGUGAGAAGUGGGGGAGAAGCAAGGUUUAAAAUACACAAAGCCAGGAGUCAGCUGGUGGAAAAUUCUUCCAGUUACCAGAGGUGUGAGAAGAAUUACAUGAAAUAGACUUGAUCGGAUUCCUGUGUCCUUUGCAAGAACCAGUAGCAAUACUGCAAAUGGCCAAAUAUAUCUGUGUUUCGUGAAGUCAUGUGUUUUCUAUAUCCCAGUCUACGGGAGUACAAAUUUGCGUAUCUGAUGCAUCUUAUCCUGAUGAAGUCUGGCAUGCAACACUGUCCCAGAAGCAGCGAAACAGCCUCAGAAACAAGUGUUCCUGUGACAAAGCUCCCACGCAUUUUCAUCAGUGAGUCAACGUAUGAAGCAUAAGAACAAUUUGAUUACAAUAAUGUGGCGCAACACAACAUACAGCUUGUUGUUCAAACACAUUUGAAUUGUUAUUUUUGUGUCCAUGUCAGAUUAGUUUUUUGUAUAUUCAUUCCAAAUUAUUGAUCACACCAAAAUUCACGUAUGAUGAGGAGGUAACAGUGGAAGCAAAACACAUAAAAGUGAGAGAAAGAAGAUGGACAGAAAGUUUAAAACAUUAAAAAUUAUCUCUAUAUCAUAAUGGACACUGAAAAUUCUUACUGUCAAAAUCAUGAAGAAAAAGAAUGAUAAUAGCCAAGAAAAACAGAUAAUGAAACUUAGCACAGCAGAUAAAGAAGAUUGUGAGACUCAGGAACACCCCCAGACAGGAAACCAGAAGCAGAAGGAAGAUGAUAUAAGAAAGAAAAAGUCUGUAUGUUCAACAGAUAUACACAAAGGUCAGCAGGAGCUACCUUUUGAUGAAUUUGUUGACUUCAAUAAAUAUCAUAAUGUUUCAUUACAGCCUGUUACAAUGAGCAAUCAUAUUUUUAAAUUUGGCAGUUAUACCUUUUAAUUUCCAAAAGCUCUUCCUUAUACCUAGGUUUUUGACCUAAGCGAUUAUGUGGGUGAUGGUGCUAUCAUUUAUGGAGAUGCAAAGGAUGGGGAAGAAAAAAUUUAGGAGUAUAAAUCAAGCGUUCUGUGUUGUUUUACACCUGGAAAAGGAACUGGUAGCAUAAUUGAAUUGUACAUCAUUUAUACACUCCUGGGUCGUCAAACAGUGCACUAUCUUUCUAUGCCUUUCAAUACCUUUUAUACUUCUACUGUCUUAAAGCUAUCUCUGGAAGACGUGAGCUGUGCUGCUUACACCCCCUUCAAGAAAGGACCAGCUGCCCAGAUGCAAGAAGUGUAGUGAGGGGCCGGCCCCAGGGCGAAGUGGUUAAGUUCAUGCGUUCCGCUUUGUGGGGUCCAGGGUUUUGCUGGUUCAGAUCCUGGGCACAGACAUGGCACUGCUCAUCAGGCCAUGUUGAGGCAGCAUCCCACAUGCCACAACUAGAAGGAUCCACAACUAAAAUAUACAACUAUGUACUGGGGGGAUUUGGGGAGAAAAAGCAAUACAAAAAAAUAAAUUAAAAAAAAAAAGGAAGUGUAGUGAGCUGGCAGGCUCCAGCUGUUAUCUCCUUCAGGGUCCAUCUCAGCUUUCAAACUGAGGUCAUGCUCUUUCAGGGGCAUCUCUCAGCCAUUGACUGACAGGGCAUGGUGGCUAAGAGCACUGUUUUCCAGGCGGUCCCUAGUCAUUGACCUAGCUGGCAGCAGCACAAGGGUCUAGCCAUCUCCCCCGAUGCAGGACUCCUCUAUCAAGCAGUCUUGGCUCUGGAGCUCCCUGUUGGGCUGGCAGAGACUUUGCCAGGUCUGCACUGUCUUCUGAUGAUGCCCUCUUUCCUUCACAGGUGUUAUUCUUCAAUAAACCUUUUGUACUCAUUACUCCAUCUCAGUAUCUGCUUCCUGGAGAACCGAAUCUGUGACACUAUCUAUAAAAGACCAAAAUACAAUCUCAGUUUUUAGCUCUGUGCCAUGUGUUAGUACGACCAAAGGAAAGAUUAACUUGGAGUAUACAUUAGUCAGUUAUUGACAUGAUCAUGCUGGGUAACAAACAAUCACAGAAGCUCAGAAGGAUACAACAAUAAGCAUUUAUUUCUUGCCCAGGCAUAUGAGUUAGUGGGGGCAGCUCUGCUUCAGGCUGCAGGUCUAUGGAGACAGCUGUGUUCCACAUGUCUCACUCUGGGACCUGGGCUGAAGUUAUCACAGGGAAGCUCUUUCCAUGGCAGAGUACUGGAGUGUAAGAGAGCAAGCCCAAAUGCCCAUGCACAAGCACAUUUCGAGCCUCUGCUCACAACACGUUCACUAGCAUUAACCAAAGCAAGUCACCUGGCCCAAUCUGAAAUGAAAGGGGUAAAGAAGAACUUGGCCAUCUUGAGGCCAUUGCAGAAGGUUUGGACGUAUAUGAGUACAACAGGGACCAAUAAUUCACCUACUGCCAGUAAUGGUUAUAUCAAGUUGGUAUAAGACUUGACAUAACCUUACAUAGUCAGCUCAUACUUUCAGGUUACAUAUCCAUUGUGUAAGACUGUUAAUGCUUACUUGCAGGGUUUUCUCAGGGUUUACGGCAUAUAUAGGGAGAUCUGGAUAACUGAAGAUUUCUGGGGGAGUCCUGAAGAUUACUCAGAUUAAAAUGUUUUCUGCAUGUGCAAAGGCAAAAAUCUAAUGCUCCUCUAUUAUCAAUGUCAUACAAAGACUGAGAAUGCUGCCUAGUUCACUGAAAUCUGACUGACAUUUUUGGUGGAAUAUAUACUGUGAAUCUGUAUUGCUGGUAAGUAGCUGCUUCAGAAUAUAUAUAUUUAAAUCACUUUAUUGAGGCG